CCCUACGGGGGGCAGCAGUGAGGAAUAUUGGUCAAUGGGCGGGAGCCUGAACCAGCCAAGUCGCGUGAGGGAAGACGGUCCUACGGAUUGUAAACCUCUUUUGCCGGGGAGCAACGGGGUCCUUGCGAGGGCCCAAUGAGAGUACCCGGAGAAAAAGCAUCGGCUAACUCCGUGCCAGCAGCCGCGGUAAUACGGAGGAUGCGAGCGUUAUCCGGAUUUAUUGGGUUUAAAGGGUGCGCAGGCGGAAGAUCAAGUCAGCGGUAAAAUGGAGAGGCUCAACCU
rnacentral:rRNA from 1 species